UUUUUUUUUUUUUUUUGUCUUUUUGUCUUUUUGCCUUUUCUAUGGCCGCUCCCGUAGCAUAUGGAGGUUCCCAGGCUAGGGGUCUAAUCAGAGCUGUAUCCACCGGUCUACACCAGAGCCACAGCAACACAGGAUCUGACCUACAUCUGCAACCUACACCACAGCUCACAGCAACACCAGAUCCUUAACCCACAGAGCAAGGCCAGAGAUCGAACCCGCAACCUCAUGGUUCCUAAUAGAAUUCGUUAACCACGGCACCACGAUGGGAACUCCCCCAUUUGGUAAUUUUUGCUUUUUGUUUCCCUUGCCUUUGGAGUCAGAUCUUCAAAAACCUUGCUAAGGCUGAAAUCACUGAGGUUACUGCCUUUUCUUCUAGGAAUUUUAUGGCUUCAGGUCUUCAUUCAAGUCUUUAAUCCAUUUUGACUUAAUUUUUGUGUACUAAGACAGUGGUCUAGUUUCAUUCUUUUCCAUGUGGCUAUUGGUUUUCCCAACAUUAUUUAUUAAAAAGACUGUCCUUUCUGCAUUGUACGUUCUUUGCUCCUUUAGUGUUAGAUUAAUUGUCCAUAUAUUGUCCAUACAGGUGCGCAUUUAUUCCAGAUUCUCAAUUAUGGUCCAUUUAUGGUCUCAAUUAUGAUCUAUGUGGUAUUUUGUGCCACAGAACUUUUAAAACUAUGUUAAAUAAAAGUAGUAAAGGUAGGUAGGCAUCCUUGUCUUGUUCCUGAUCUUUGAGGAAGUAUCAUACUGUUUUGAUUACUAUAGCUUUGUAGUGUGGUUUGAAAUCAGGAAGCAUGAUUCAUCCAGCUUUGUUAUUCUUUCUCAAGAUUGUAUUGACUAUUCAGGGUUUUUUGCGGUUUCAUACAAAUUUUAGAAAGCCUUGUAAUUUCCUUUUUCUGCAGUGUUCUAUCUGUUUUGGGUAUCAGGGUAACACUGGCUUUGUAAAAUGUGGAAGAUUUCCUUCCUCUUCAAUUUUUUGGAAGAGUUUGAGAACAAUAGGCAUUAAAUCUUCUUUGAAUGUUCAUAGAAAUUGCCAGUGAAGCCAUCUGGUCCUGGGCUUUGAUGGCCCAUGCUUUUAAUCCACUCAACUAUUUCAUCUCUUUUGAUAGGCAAUUUUAGACCACUUACAUUUAAAGUAAUUAUUGAUAAGUAUGUAUGUAUUGUUAUUUCUUAAAUUAUGUUCCGGCUGUUUUUGUGGCUGCUCUCUGUUCCCCUCUUGUUCUCUUUCUCUCUUCCUUUACAUUUUGGUGGUUUUCUUUAGUGGUGUUUUAGAUUCCUUUCUUAUUUUCUUUUGUGCAUUUACUGUAAGUUUUUUUCCUUCUGUUUACUAUGAGAUUCACAUAUAAUAUCCUACAUAAAUAGUAGUGUUUUAAGUUGGCGGCAGUGUAAACUGAACAUAUUCCAGAGCUUUAUCAUUUUACUCCCCAACGUUUUAUACUUUUGAUGACACAGUUUAUAUCUUUUUAUUUUUUUGUAUCCAUUAACUGAUAGAAAUUUACCUAAUUUUACCAACUUUGACUUUUAACCUUCAUGCUUCCUUUAUAAAUGACUGACUCACUACUUUUAUUACAUAUUUACCUUUUCAGUGAAAUUUUUACUCUCAUACAUUUCCUUGUUUUUAAUUUGUGCCAUUUCUUUUUAGCUUAAAGAAAUGUCUCUAACAUUUUUCAUAGGGCUAGUUUAGUAGUGGUGAACUUCUUUAGCAUUUACUUACCCAGGAAACUCUUAAUUUCCCCAUCAAUUCUGAAGAACCUUGCUUGGUAGAAAAUUCAUGGUUGUAAGUAUUUUUUUCAUCACUUUGAAUAUGUCAUACAACUCCCCUAUAGCCUGUAAAGUUUCUGCUGAAAUAUCUGACAGCCUUAAGAGGUUUCCCUUGUAUAUAAUAAAUUAUAUUUUUGUGAUGAUUUUAGGAUUCUCAUUAUCCUAAAAUCUUAUUAUUUUAAUUUAUAAUGUGUCUUGGGGUGUGUCUCUUUGGAUUCAUCUUAUUUGAAACUAUCUGGGCUUCCUGUACCUAGAUAUCUGUUUCCUUCUUCAGAUUAGAAAUGUUUUCAGUCAUUACUUUUUCAAAUACAUUUUCUGGCCUUUCCCCUCUCUCCUUCUAAGGACCCUUAUUCUACUUGAUGUUUGCUAAAAUAUUCCUUAAAGUAGCUCCACUUUCUAAAAUUCUAUUUUCAUUUUUGUUGCUCUGCCUAGUUAGUUCUUUUUCUUUUUUCUUUUUUUUUUUUUUUGAACCUCUCUACUGUAUUUUUCAAUUCAGCUAAAACUUGUUCGGUAUUUUCUUAUAUUUCUAUGUCUUUGUUGAAUUUUCACAACAAAGAAAACAAGUUCAGUGAACAUUUUUAUGAACAUCACUUUUAACUCUUUAUCAGGUAGACUGCUUAUCUCUGUUUCAGUUAGUUCUUUUUCUUUUUUCUUUUUUUUUUUUUUUGUCUUUUUUUGUUGUUGUUGUUGUUGUUGCUAUUUCUUGGGCCGCUCCCGCAGCAUAUGGAGGUUCCCAGGCUAGGGGUCGAAUCGGAGCUGGAGCCACCAGCCUACUCCAGAGCCACAGCAACGCGGGAUCCGAGCCGCAUCUGCAACCUACACCACAGCUCACGGCAACGCCGGAUCGUUAACCCACUGAGCAAGGGCAGGGACCGAACCCGCAACCUCAUGGCUCCUAGUCGGAUUCGUUAAUCACUGCACCACGACAGGAACUCCUGUUUCAGUUAGUUCUUUUUCUGAGGUUUUGUCUUCUCCUUUUACUUAGAAUAUAUUACUUUGUCUCCUCACUUUGCCCUAUUCUCUACAUUUGUGUCUAUGUAUUAGGUAAAUCAGCUACCUCUCUCAGUCUUGAAGGAGUGGCCUAUGUAGGAGAUGUCCUAUGGAACUCAAAAGCUCAAUGUCACCUGGCCACCAGAGCCAAGCAUUCAAGGGAUGUUCCUAUGUGAACUAUGUGUGCUCUCCUGUUUUUGUGAAGUUGUGGCUGUUGCCAAGUACUGGUGGGUGAAGCUGGCCCCUACAAGAGCUUCAGGGUCCAGCCAUGGUGACUGCCAGGUAGUAGUGCAUGGGCUAGCCCCUAGACUGGCCAUGGGGUUAGUCUGCAGCUGCUGUUGCCAGGUGCUGGUGAGUGGGGUAAAAGCC
ensembl:lncRNA